AAGUAUGAACAAGUUACUGCGCCGUCAAUAUGACAUUAUAUCACAAUUCACAAUACAUGUGCAUUACGACAUAAAGUAAAUAGCCCUUAUCAACGAUGACGAGAGUCAACAAAGUAUAUAAUGUAGGUCGCAAUGGUCCUCUUCGAUUCUAACAACGCGGAAUACUUGUGAUACUACGAUAAUAAAUCUUCCGACAUUUCGAUAAAUGAACAUUGCGGGAUUUACAAAAGACUUAUAAAAUAAGAUAGUCCAAAAACGUAUACGUACCUACUAAAUAGUGUAUUAUUUUUUAAAUUGUUAUCAAAUAUUUGACUGUUGAUGUCGAUGUAUGCUGCACGAUAAAUUAUUACAAAGCUGUCAGAAUUGUUUUGAGUUACGAUCGUACCCAGUCACCACUAACCACUAUAUGGACACCCGAGGUGAGCGUUUGUGUGCAGCCUAAAAGCCGAAGAUCCGGGCAUAUUGCAGAGUAUACAGUAUUUUCAAUUCACACAAGAAUCGGCGAACAGAUUUUAUACUCACAUUAAAGUAAAUAUAGGUACAGAUAAAUCACCGUCGUUGUGACUGCGACGGUACUUGGACGGUUGCCGUGCGCCGCCGGAUAGGUGUCGCAGUCAAUUAUAUUAUAAUCAACAUUUAAUUGAACAUUAUUAAUAGUGGAUUCCGAUAAAAAUCAUCGAAGGCGGCACUCUGCUAAAUUGUCGUCGGUGCAGGGUGGAAGGGAGGAUUAGUAAGUAGGACUGCGCGUCCAACCGGUGCACCUGGGCGGCCGCCAGAUUAUAUCGUUCCGUGUAAACGCGUACAUAUUUGUUCGUAAUUAAUUCGAUUCGUCUUCAUAUACCAUCUCGUUAUUAUAUCGUCUUAAAUUAUGAUGAAGGACGACCUCAUUAUUUUCGCUAGUGCAUUUUUGGGUUCUUUUUAAAUAUACAGCAGUUCAAUCGCGGAUUGAAAAAAAAUAUCUCGUGUUUUAAUACUUUUUAAUUCUCAGUUAAUAAUAUUUAGACGUCUGAAACAAAGAAUUUAUCUGAAAUUAUCGUUAUAUAUCGAUAAAGUGUUCGAUAUGCUAAUAAUUAAAAGUUUUGUCAAGGGAAAUAUGUAUGUCAAGAAGCAGAGCUGCGAUAUCAUUGCUAUAAUAAAUUCACAAAACAACUUAAGCUGUUGGUUGGAUUUUUCAUGUUUUUACAAUCAAAUAUAAAUAUUGAAAUCAUCAGAAAAAUAGGUAGAAAAUGAAAUAAAAAUAUGUAUGUAGAUGUCAGAUGAUCACUGAUUAAAAGGGCAGAGGUAAUGUUCAGUAAAGUACUCGGAAUUACAUUUGAAAACAAAAUAAUUAAAUCCGUUUCAACAAAAUCACAAAAAUUGAAAAUUGUAAAGGAUAAAAACCAACGACACUGCAUCAAAAUUGUACCUUAAAAAUUAUAUAGGUAUAGUUAUAAUAAUAUGUGGGUUCUGUGACAGCACCAGCUGUUGUUGCUGCCGUACGGCAUUAUUUGGUUCACUCUGUGUUGUCUAGCUGUAGAAAAUGGUCGGAAUGGCGACGAUCGGAACGCGGUGCCAAAACGGUGCGCAGUUCGGGCGGUAACGGCACCUCCUCGCGGGAGAAAACGAUAACACGAUCGGAAUAAACAUUAAACUUCCCUGGCUGCUGCAGCACCAGCGGCACUAUUUGGUCGACAACUUUCACAAAACACGAUGCCGGUCAAUCGAUCAAUACAUGGUAAACACGGUACCCCGCAAUUGCCAGAGCAAUCUUAAAUUUUCAAAUAACUUUUUCAAAACAUAACGUUGAAAUUGGUUGAACUAAACUCCAAUACUCAAAUAGACUGACUUUCAUCAAGUUGGAUCCACAAAACAUAGAUGUCCAACAUAUGGUUUUGGUUUUUCUAGUUUGCUCGGAAACAAUCGAGAAAACAAUAAUCGUAGCGUCACAUGAAAAUACGAUAUUUAUGAUUGCCGAUUGAUUGGUUCUUUUUCUCGUUUGUGAAAAAUGAAAGCGUAGGUACAUACAAUCGACCAAUCAGAAAAUAGAUGCAGUGAUCUAGCCUACUAAACAGAAAGAUAAUAAAAAUAAUGAAGGAGUCAAAUCGUCGAUUAUGAUAUAUUUUUCAAUAAUUUGUUUCUAAUUAUAUAGGCAUAAACAAUAAAUUAUUAAAUAUUAAAUGUGCUUACUGAAGAGCAAAAAUACAUACUUAUUUUAUUGAUUUGAGAAUUGCUUUUUAUAGCCUUUUGACUAUGGUUUAUUCAAAUUUUGAUUUUCUAGACCCUGUAACUACGAUAUUAAAUCCUAGUUACGUCCACUCUACUUAUUAUAGAAUGACGGUAGUUCAUUGUUUCAGUAAAAUAUAAUAUUUAAAAAACUGGA